rnacentral:tRNA from 1 species
UUUUUAAUUGACAUAGACCGAGUCUUCUAGUAAAAUGAGGAUGA